rnacentral:antisense_RNA from 1 species
CCCCUUCCAGUUUUUAGACUUGUAGUUACGAGAACCUU